rnacentral:rRNA from 1 species
CUCCCCGAAAACUAUUUAGGUAGUGCCUCGAGCAAGACACUGAUGGGGGUAAAGCACUGUUAUGGCUAGGGGGUUAUUGCAACUUACCAACCCAUGGCAAACUCAGAAUACCAUCAAGUGGUUCCUCGGGAGACAGACAGCGGGUGCUAACGUCCGUUGUCAAGAGGGAAACAACCCAGACCGCCAGCUAAGGUCCCCAAUGAUAGAUUAAGUGGUAAACGAAGUGGGAAGGCCCAGACAGCCAGGAUGUUGGCUUAGAAGCAGCCAUCAUUUAAAGAAAGCGUAAUAGCUCACUGGUCGAGUCGUCCUGCGCGGAAGAUGUAACGGGGCUCAAAUCUAUAACCGAAGCUGCGGAUGCCGGUUUACCGGCAUGGUAGGGGAGCGUUCUGUAGGCCGAUGAAGGUGCAUUGUAAAGUGUGCUGGAGGUAUCAGAAGUGCGAAUGUUGACAUGAGUAGCGAUAAAGCGGGUGAAAAGCCCGCUCGCCGAAAGCCCAAGGUUUCCUGCGCAACGUUCAUCGGCGUAGGGUGAGUCGGCCCCUAAGGCGAGGCAGAAAUGCGUAGUCGAUGGGAAACAGGUUAAUAUUCCUGUACUUG